UUUAAUGAGAGUUUGAUCCUGGCUCAGGACGAACGCUGGCGGCGUGCCUAAUACAUGCAAGUAGAACGCUGAAGAGAGGAGCUUGCUCUUCUUGGAUGAGUUGCGAACGGGUGAGUAACGCGUAGGUAACCUGCCUGGUAGCGGGGGAUAACUAUUGGAAACGAUAGCUAAUACCGCAUAAAAUUGAUUAUUGCAUGAUAAUUGAUUGAAAGAUGCAAUUGCAUCACUACCAGAUGGACCUGCGUUGUAUUAGCUAGUUGGUGAGGUAACGGCUCACCAAGGCGACGAUACAUAGCCGACCUGAGAGGGUGAUCGGCCACACUGGGACUGAGACACGGCCCAGACUCCUACGGGAGGCAGCAGUAGGGAAUCUUCGGCAAUGGGGGGAACCCUGACCGAGCAACGCCGCGUGAGUGAAGAAGGUUUUCGGAUCGUAAAGCUCUGUUGUAAGAGAAGAACGGGUGUGAGAGUGGAAAGUUCACACUGUGACGGUAUCUU
rnacentral:rRNA from 1 species